AUGGUAUCUGGGAUGUUGGGGUGGUUACCCCUCCUUUAGCCCAGAGUGGGGAGCAGCCCAGCUAGCAAGGUAGCCAGAGAGCAAGAAUGGGUCAGCCAACUAGGAGAGGGGGGCCCUGGCCUUUCUUCCUAGUGGUGGUGCCUCAAGGUCUGGGGCACGGAGCCUGGGGAGCUGUGGGGGAAGAAGGCAGGAGAACUCUUCCUGGCAUCCUUAAGUCAGUCUCUUUCAGGAGCUUCUCUCUGCAUACAGGAGUACCUGGCCGUAGUCGAUGCCCCUCCCUUGGACCUCCGGUUCAGCCCCUCAGGCUACCUCUUGCUGGCUUCAGAAAAGGAUGCUGCAGCCAUGGAGAGCAACGUGAAAGUGCAGAGGCAGGUGGGAGCCAAAAUUUCUCUGAUGUCUCCUGAUCAGCUUCGGAACAAGUUUCCCUGGAUAAACACAGAGGGAGUGGCUUUGGCAUCUUACGGUGAGGCUUGCUUGCAGAGGGGACAGCUUUUUUCCUGAAGAUGGAGACUAAGGGGUGCUACACGUUGGGAGUCUCGGUACCCCACAGCCAAGCUGAAGGAGGAACACUUCCCUCCUGUGUCA
rnacentral:sRNA from 1 species